CAAUAGCCAUCGACACUAGGCCUUUCUACUUUUGUUUGACGUUUAUUGUUCGUUACUGGUGUUGUGUUACGCGACUAUUACUUUUUGUUCUUCGCCGCGAAACGUUCCAAAGUGCAAUCUGAGGCGCGCGUGUAGACUCGGUGACAGUUACGCUUACCAUUUGCUUGUUCUUCACCCAAUUAAAUCUUAGUCCUUUAAAUCUGAUAGCUCCGCUGCAAGGCAAUCCACUGAAGAGCGUUGAUAAGCGGGGGUUGGUUUAGCUGUGACAGAGCUGUUUAAAAAAAAUACAAAGGCAUCCACGGAAAGUUUGAGAUUACAUCCCAGCCAUGUGGUGUGGGGAUUGGAGCGAGCUACCACAGGACUCCAUCCGCAUACUGGGCGCACAAAAUGGCCCUGUACAAGAGCAGGAUGCCACUAGUCUACUGUAUACACUUGGGUCUCACCAGGACAGAAACAGUCAUCUUGUUCGGGUCGCCUGUCUAGGUCCCUACCUUUUUGGGUCCACCUUUUUCAGCAAGGACUGUGAAAUAUGGCGAGGAGUUCAGGGAUAUACUUCGACCCUUCAAUGCUAGUGGACAGCAACAUGAGUGCUGAAGUUCGUGAAGCAAUCAUGGUUCUUGACACAUUGGCAUACCAUAUAUCAUUCGUCCUC